CCCUUAGAUGUUCUGGGCCGCACGCGCGCUACACUGAUGCAUUCAACGAGCCUAUCCUUGACCGACAGGUCCGGGUAAUCUUUGAAUCUGCAUCGUGACGGGGAUAGAUUAUUGCAAUUAUUAAUCUUCAACGAGGAAUGCCUAGUAGGCGCAAGUCAUCAGCUUGCGUCGAUUACGUCCCCGCCCUUUGUACACACCGCCCGUCGCUCCUACCGAUUGGGUGUGCUGGUGAAAUGUUCGGAUCGGCCGUUUGUCGCGGUUUCCGCGGCUCGUGGCUGAGAAGUUCAUUAAACCCUCCCACCUAGAGGAAGGAGAAGUCGUAACA
rnacentral:rRNA from 1 species